UACGGGGGGGCAAGCGUUGUUCGGAAUUACUGGGCGUAAAGGGCUCGUAGGCGGCCAACUAAGUCAGACGUGAAAUCCCCAGGCUCAACCUGGGAACUGCGUCUGAUACUGGAUGGCUUGAAUCCGGGAGAGGGAUGUGGAAUUCCAGGUGUAGCGGUGAAAUGCGUAGAUAUCUGGAGGAACACCGGUGGCGAAGGCGGCAUCCUGGACCGGUAUUGACGCUGAGGCGCGAAAGCUAGGGGAGCAAACGGG
rnacentral:rRNA from 1 species